GAGGGUGUAGCUCAAGCAGUAGAGCACGUGCUUAGCAUGCACGAGGUCCUGGGUUCAAUCCCUGGCACGUCCU
rfam:Camelus ferus unplaced genomic scaffold scaffold902, whole genome shotgun sequence.